rnacentral:lncRNA from 1 species
GUUUGAUCUUCUUGCAGUCCAUGGGACUCUCAAGAGUCUCCUCCAGCACCAUAAUUCAAAAGCAUCAAUUCUUCGGCGAUCAGCCUUCUUUAUGGUCCAGCUCUCACUUCCUAGUUAAAAGUAUAAGUCGGCAAAUAUGUCCCCUUUUUUUGCUCUUCAAAAUAUGGCAGCCCUACAUGAUACCAUCCCACCAUGCUUCUGGUGCCUCACAUUAUCCUUCCAUUGCUGGGGACUAUGAGUGAUGUCCUGCUUGCAGGCUUCCCACAAGCAUCUGGUUGGCCAUUGAGGAAACAGAAUAGAUGGGCCUUUGGUCUCACCCCCCAGGGCUCCUUCUUACCUUCAUAACUUCACAUUGACAAUCCUUGGAUAAGAGAGAAGGCGUACUGUCUUCCAUGACAGACUCUUUCUUGCCAGAAUGUUUACUUCCAGCAGUUGGUCUACUGCAGUCACCUCCUUUCUCGGCUCUCUUUAAUAUUCUUAACAGCUAAAAUUCACAGAUGGUUGCACGAUCCACAAAAUUCACAUAGCAACCACAUUGCAGCCUUUCCUGUGAGCUUGUAGGACAGAACAGCUUGAUAACAGAAGACGGGAACAGUUUGGGUGGGGAGAGAGAGGAUCAUUUUCUUACAUAAUAGAAAUAGAGCAUCUCCCAAACCCCAGCUUUUAUAUAAAGUGUCAGGAAGUACGAAUGUACUGUUGUGCAAAUAAAAGGAUAAUAUUAUUUCCAGCCACUACAAGAGUAACUGUAAAUACAAAAUGGACACAUUCUUCCAGCAAUAUAUGCAUUCUUUAAAAAAAGGGUAAGGAGUUGGGGUUGUGUGCAAGAAACAUCCCAACUGCUUAUGCUACAUUUUGUUUUAAAUAUAGCUGGCCGGCAGAAAAGAGCAAAGGAAUCUGCCUUAUACAGGUUAAGACCAUCUCGCUCUGCAUUGUUUACACUGGCAUGCAGAAACUCCCCAGAAUUUCAAACAAGAGCCUUUUGCAGCCUUAUGUGGAAAUGCCAAGGACAGAACCUGUGGCCUUCUGUAUGCAAUGCAACUGCUUUACCACUGAACUGUGGCCCUUGCCGUAGACAUGUCUGGUAGAAGUGGAUUUGGCUAGAAAAACUGAGUUAGAUUCAUCUGUGUACGUCUCUGAUCAACCCUGCCAUAUAAAUACUUGCCUGUUUUAUCUUAUCCAGGAAUAUGGGUCUUUGCGAGGCUUUUGCAAAAAGCUUUGGUUGUGAGUAGCCAACAUGGAGUCCUCCAGAUGUUGUUGAUGCCAGCUGCCAGAGACACAGCAUUGCCAAUUAUCUCUAUGUUGCACCAGAGUUCAACAUCACCUGAACUGUGUAAAAGAAGAUGUUCAGUGCCACAACCAAGAAGACUCGCUUCCACAAAGACACAAGGUGACAUUCCACUGACCAUGGCAUAGCUGGCAAGGCCUCCCCUGAGGUGACUGUCCACCAAGUACAAAAAUACAGGUCAAGCAUAGGUGGAGGUGCAGGUUAAACACUCUGACAAAACCCCAAAGUGCAUUGAUUCCACCUCAGGUCUUCUUGGUGGAACAGGCUGGACCUUCAAGAUGCUUUGGCAAAGCCCAUGGUUCUCUGACUGAAUCAAAAUGUAGCCUUGUCCUUGCCCUUUGCACACCACUGGACACCUAGCUGAAGUGGAGGGGGAAGGAUGAUAAUGAUAAAUCAUCUCUGCCCAUUACCUAUACUUUUUUGGGCCAUCUUUGUUCCCAUGGCAACGUAUCACUGGGGUAUUUGCCUCACAAAGCCAUAAGCCAGGCUAGAUUUGGUCAACUGGUUCAAGCACUUUAGAACACAGCCUAAACACCUUACUCAAAACACUGUUCUCCUGUGCUGAAUGUAAACUGCUCUGGGAGCAUGGCUGGGCUGAAAGUGUGGGAUACAAAACAGGAAAUAAGCAUUUACCAAAAUCCAUACCCAGUUUUUCUGUCAAAUACUCAGCGUGGCUCCGCAGAUGGCUACUUUAACCCACACCGAAGCUGCAGAAAACUGGAAGUGAUAACAUGAAAGCCUUGCCCUAGUUUGCCUUUCCUUGGGGGGCGGAAUGAGGAGAGGGAGUGAGGAGGGGGAAAGGGAAAGAAAAGAAGAGGCAGUUUCUCCAGCCAAGCAUGGACUUCCCUGUUGGAGCAGGGGCAGGCAUUUGAAGAGCAUCCCUAACUUGGCACAGAGAGAGAGAGAGAGAGAGAGAGAGAGAGAGAGAGAGAGAGAGAGAGAAAGGGAGGGAGGGAGGGAGAGAGAGCAUAGCAGAGUGGAACUACAGGACAAACUGUGUCCUGUAUUGAAUCAAUAGGGGAUGUAGUAUUUUACAUUGAACUACAGGACAAUCCUAUAUUAUACGGGACGGGUGGCAACACUACUCAUACAGUGUGAGAAGCUGUUCCAGAGCUGUUUAACCUGAGACCUAUUUAGUUCCACCCAAGCCCCUGGCUGUGUACAGGGGCCCUGCAGGCUGCUUGACACACACACAAAACCCUAAAGGAGUUACACCUUUGGAAGUGGAAAGUAAGAUUGCCAUGAUUGCUGCCUCCACCAGAAAAUGAAUGGUCCCGCUGUGCUGAGUGCGAAGACCUCCCUUGAAUAUUUAAUAAUGGGAAUAUGAUUCACUAAGAGGCAGGGUGGGUGACAGUAAUUAAGGGGAUUCUAUCAGGAAUGCCUGCCUUGCAAGCAGAAGUGUACAAUCCCCACACUGACCCCAUGCUGACAUUUUGUUAUUCAUCCCCAGGUGUGGGUCUUUGUAAUAGAUGACUGGAAGUCGAAAGCUCUCCCUUGCCGAAGCCUAGUGGCCUUGGUGAGCUUUGCUUUUUAAAUAUUGUUUUUGAGUCAAGAAGACUGUGCCAUUGUUUGCUGGAUUGAGGAAAUGCUUUCUAAUAACAGCAGCAUUUGGUUGGGCUUUAUUUUUAGUAAAACAAAAUGAAAUAAAUACUAAUUUCUGUAACAACCUAGCAAAACAGGGUAUUUUAUGAGCCCUCAUUAGGACACUAUGCAAUCCGUCAAAACUAGGUUGCUCAUUUAAUGACUGCUGCUGGUCGCACUCGGAAUAAAAAGACAGUGAGGCACAGUGGUUUGCCAAGCCUUAAGGAUUAUUGCUACAUUACCCAUAUCAUUUCUGAAAUGGUUUUUAGUUGGUUAAAAACAAACCCUAAAACCAAACAGAGAAAAGAGAGAUUAUGCCAGUGACAGCAGA